rnacentral:rRNA from 1 species
GAACGACUCUCGGCAACGGAUAUCUCGGCUCUUGCAUCGAUGAARAACGUARCGAAAUGCGAUACUUGGUGUGAAUUGCARAAUCCCGUGAACCAUUGAGUCUUUGAACGCAAGUUGCGCCCUAAGCCGUUAGGCCGAGGGCACGUCCGCCUGGGUGUCACGCAU